UCGUCGCCGGUGCUGCCAGGUGCCCGCUGCCAAGCGGGAGAAUCGGGAACACGGUUGAAAUCCGUGGCGUGCCCAACGCUGUAAGAGGGACCGCAUCGGCUGGGUCGUGACCCAGUGGCCACUGUUGCUCGCAACGGGAAGGCGCCGAUUUUGCGGGAUGAUCUCGAGCCAGAAGACCGGCCUUGCAGACAUUGUCGAC
rnacentral:ncRNA from 2 species